GAAAAUCAAAUAAAAUAAAAUGAAAAUAAAAAAACAAAAAAAAACGUGAGCCACUUGAUCACCCUCAUUAAUUGAGGUGGCAUAUAAAGUGGCUAGAAACAUGCGUUGCAUGGUGGAACUUAGUCAGCGCGCUAUACGCGUGGUAAUCAAAACCAACGCCUAAGAUUAAAACGAUUCAAAUGGAUCCUAUGGUCCGGAGACGUGCCAACACACCGCCGGAGUUAGAGAUUCGGUCUUCUUCUCCGGUGGACCUCACCGGACUGGUCCACCCUCAACCAUCACCAAAAUAAAAAAGGAGGGCAUGAUCUGAAAGAAAAAAAUGGCGUUGAAUUUCUACUAACUCCAUAUAUAUAAAAAGAUAUGAGGAGUUGAAUUUUGAGGUGUGACAACUGAGUUACUUCCAUUUGACCUCAAAGCAACUCAAUCUUCUUGCCUACAUUGGUAGGACUUCAGACAACCAAAGAUCCAAGACAAUUGAUGAGAAUUGAGUGACAAUCGAAGAGAAGAAGAUUUCUG
rnacentral:lncRNA from 1 species